AAUGCGCUUGCAGCUCGCGCUCCCGCGCCGAUCCCGGGAGCGUCGGGGCUGCCGUGCGCGAGCGAGGGAGG
rnacentral:other from 1 species